UACGUAGGGGGCUAGCGUUGCUCGGAAUCACUGGGCGUAAAGCGCACGUAGGCGGAUUGCUAAGUCAGGGGUGAAUCCUGGAGCUCAACUCCAGAACUGCCUUUGAUACUGGCGACCUUGAGUCCGGGAGAGGUGAGUGGAACUGCGAGUGUAGAGGUGAAAUUCGUAGAUAUUCGCAAGAACACCAGUGGCGAAGGCGGCUCACUGGCCCGGUACUGACGCUGAGGUGCGAAAGCGUGGGAGCAACAGG
rnacentral:rRNA from 1 species